AGACCCGAAACCCGGUGAUCUAGCCAUGGGCAGGUUGAAGGUUGGGUAACACUAACUGGAGGACCGAACCGACUAAUGUUGAAAAAUUAGCGGAUGACCUGUGGCUGGGGGUGAAAGGCCAAUCAAACCGGGAGAUAGCUGGUUCUCCCCGAAAGCUAUUUAGGUAGCGCCUCGUGAAUUCAUCUCCGGGGGUAGAGCACUGUUUCGGCUAGGGGGCCAUCCCGGCUUACCAACCCGAUGCAAACUGCGAAUACCGGAGAAUGUUAUCACGGGAGACACACGGCGGGUGCUAACGUCCGUCGUGAAGAGGGAAACAACCCAGACCGCCAGCUAAGGUCCCAAAGUCAUGGUUAAGUGGGAAACGAUGUGGGAAGGCCCAGACAGCCAGGAUGUUGGCUUAGAAGCAGCCAUCAUUUAAAGAAAGCGUAAUAGCUCACUGGUCGAGUCGGCCUGCGCGGAAGAUGUAACGGGGCUAAACCAUGCACCGAAGCUGCGGCAGCGACACUGUGUGUUGUUGGGUAGGGGAGCGUUCUGUAAGCCUGUGAAGGUGGCCUGUGAGGGUUGCUGGAGGUAUCAGAAGUGCGAAUGCUGACAUAAGUAACGAUAAAGCGGGUGAAAAGCCCGCUCGCCGGAAGACCAAGGGUUCCUGUCCAACGUUAA
rnacentral:rRNA from 2 species